CGCUGGGUGGCCAAGUGGCUAGAGCAUCCGCCUCGGAUGCGGGAGGUCGAGGGUUCAAUCCCCAGUCGAGUCA